UUACAGAAUAAGAUAGAAAGGGCGACUCGUCGAGCUCAAGAGCAAUUUCAAACAAUUUUAGAGGAGCAAAGCAGAUUUGCUCUUGAUAUUGACCUUGAUGCUCCAAAAAUCAGAGUUCCUAUAAGAUUAAGUUCCUCGUCAGAGUAUAACAGUCAUUUUCUUUUGGAUUUUUGUCAUUUUACAUUGCAAACAGAGGAGGACCAGCCUGAUGAUAAAGG